rnacentral:rRNA from 1 species
CUACGGGAGGCAGCAGUGAGGAAUAUUGGUCAAUGGACGGAAGUCUGAACCAGCCAAGUCGCGUGCAGGAAGACUGCCCUAUGGGUUGUAAACUGCUUUUGUAUGAGGGUAAAGUGCGUUACGUGUAGCGUUUUGCAAGUAUCAUACGAAUAAGGAUCGGCUAACUCCGUGCCAGCAGCCGCGGUAAUACGGAGGAUCCGAGCGUUAUCCGGAUUUAUUGGGUUUAAAGGGUGCGUAGGCGGGAUUUAAGUCAGUGGUGAAAGUUUGCAGCUCAACUGUAAAAUUGCCAUUGAAACUGAAGUUCUUGAGUGCAAAUGAGGUAUGCGGAAUGUGUAGUGUAGCGGUGAAAUGCAUAGAUAUUACACAGAACACCGAUUGCGAAGGCAGCAUACUGGGAUGUAACUGACGCUGAGGCACGAAAGCGUGGGUAGCGAACAGGAUUAGAUACCCUUGUAGUC